rnacentral:tRNA from 1 species
GGAUAUAGCUCAAGUGGUAGAGUGCAUGCUUGGUAUGCACAAGGUCCUGGGUUCAAUCCCCAGUACAUCCU